AUAUAGGGCAAUCUGUCUUUAAGUAGGGAUAAAUUACUCUUAAAAAAAAAAAGAAUUCUAGAUAGUUUUCUCUUCAAGUGUCUUGU
rnacentral:pre_miRNA from 1 species